rnacentral:lncRNA from 1 species
GGCCCGGGGGGCUAUAGCGCACGUCCUCGGGGGCCGCAAAGAAGGGGCCGUAACUCAUGAUCCGGGCCUCCGAUUCCGUUUCCGUCGGGUCCCGCGGGACCAGGGUUCCGGGGGCAUCGGGAUGGGGGAGUAGCCGCGCGGCGGUUUGAACGCCGAAAAAUGGGCAUGUUCGGGGUGCGCUCAGUCGGUUUAGACGGUUUUGGGCGUAUCUCAUGAUC